UAAUAUGGAGAGUUUGAUCCUGGCUCAGGAUGAACGCUGGCGGCGUGCCUAAUACAUGCAAGUCGAGCGAACUGAAGAGGAGC
rnacentral:rRNA from 1 species